UUCCGAACACAGAAGUUAAGCUCCUCAGCGCCGAUGGUACUUGGAGGGAGACCUCCUGGGAGAGUAGGACGUAGCCACGU
rnacentral:rRNA from 1 species